CCUUAACACAGCGCUUUCUUAUGAUAUUGAUGGUGAGUGGAGCAACUGAAUGAACAGAGAACUGCAGGGAGCUAGCAGGACAAGCAUGAAUGAACGGGAAGAUAACGCUCCAUCUGCAUGAGAAAAGCAUGUGUGGGGCUUUCCGCCGAGCUCUGGAGCUGGCUUGUCGUGGAGUGAGACCAGAAAAGCUGCUGUCCCGACGUGCCCCUGCUCUCCAGGGAUUAGGAACAGCAGAGCCCAGCUGGGGCUGGCGGCAGCUCUGUGGGCACCUACCUGCUCUUGGGUUCUGCUCCUGG